rnacentral:rRNA from 1 species
CCUACGGGUGGCAGCAGUGGGGAAUAUUGCACAAUGGGGGAAACCCUGAUGCAGCGACGCCGCGUGAGUGAAGAAGUAUUUCGGUACGUAAAGCUCUAUCAGCAGGGAAGAAAACGACGGUACCUGACUAAGAAGCCCCGGCUAACUACGUGCCAGCAGCCGCGGUAAUACGUAGGGGGCAAGCGUUAUCCGGAUUUACUGGGUGUAAAGGGAGCGUAGACGGCAGCGCAAGUCUGGAGUGAAAUCCCAUGGCUUAACCAUGGAACUGCUUUGGAAACUGUGCAGCUAGAGUGCAGGAGAGGUAAGCGGAAUUCCUAGUGUAGCGGUGAAAUGCGUAGAUAUUAGGAGGAACACCAGUGGCGAAGGCGGCUUACUGGACUGUAACGGACGUUGAGGCUCGAAAGCGUGGGGAGCAAACAGGAUUAGAUACCCGGGUAGUC